CUAAGCACUUGGAAGGACACAACACGUUAUGUUGUAAUUGUAUGCUAAAAUGUAAAGGCAUAAGUUAUAGACCUGAAAGUAAAUGAAUUUCCUAAGAGAAAGUAUCUAGGUCACAGAAAAGAUGCCAACUUGUCCAGAGAAGUGGGGAAAAGACAGUGAGUCAAAGAAAUCUGCUGGAGGAGUUGAAAAUCAAGAAGGAACAAGUUACCACCCAGUAGACCUCUGAACGGCACCUUGACAGGGAAGUUGACAGGUCCAGAGUUGAAGCAGCAAGCUUUUUCUUCGUUCCUGUUCCCAAUAAAAUGCCUGUGAAUUGGCUAUGGUAUGGGGUCAUUAAAAUAGAGGGCGUUUAAAAUUAAA